AAAGUUUUGAAAAACGUCGAAACAACCUCACAACAAAUAUUUUGUUGAAGAUGAGCAAACGUUAAUGGACGUAUUUUCAUUAUCCGCUUCUUAUUUAUUCGGAAAUUGGUAGUCAAUUCUGUCGCUAACGCCAGUAAGAAAGUGGCCAGACUCUCGGGCAAUUUCCUUCACACAAACAUAAAAUAAAGACUAAAAAUACACGAUGUUUUUAAGUCAGUACUGUUCAAAUAAAAAAAAUGGGUAUGUAAAUCAGUUCCCCAACACAGUGGAUAUUACGAUUGGAAUCAAUAACUGUAUCUUCAUCUACACCUGGAAUGCUAACUCUCAAGUAGUAGUCAAGAUUACCGAUCGAUAGUACCGAUCACAAAGGAGGAAAGCUACUAGAGGCCAGAAACCGUACCUAAAACCGCAAAUUCUCAACCUUCAAGCAAGAAAAUUCAGACAACAGAAUCGUUUAUAUGUCAUUGACAUGGUUCGAAUUAAAAAUAUAACUGCGAGACU